AACAGCUUCCAAAACCAACACAUCGGCUCAGCUAAGAUCUACAAAUCUGGCUCAUACUAUUGAUGGUCCCUCAGACUACUAAUAGCUCACUAAUAAGUAGAUCAAGUGCCAAAAGGCUGCACAGUGAAGCUCAAACAUCCAGAUGUUGUGAUAAUUAGCAGUUUUGAAACGUUGACUUUAAAUAUCCAGAUUUCUGAGCACUGCAGCCUUUGGUGACCUCUGCUGGUUGUAUCAGACAAAGCAAGGACACAAUGCAUACUGACAAUAAUGACGUAAUCCACAAUCAGUGAUUGUAGCAUGCUGUUUACUUAUAAACCUUUAAACCCUAAUAAAUACAAACUGAUAGAUAAUUAGAUGGUAUGGUUAUAUUGGUUGGACUGGGAGAAUAGAAGGAUAUGGGUUCUUUCAGGGCCUUUUCAGCCACUAGAGGCACCUUGGUGGCUCUGGAGUGACACGAGAGGUCGUAGCAGGAGCGAUCAACAAAGCCCACCAUCUCCAUCCAGCCCUAAAAGAGAGAAACAACUGGUCUUUACUCGCAUCCAAGUUCUUAUUCCAUAUCUGUGAAUUAAAGACAAAAAUAUUUACGUAAUUGUAAAGCUGUAAAUGUUCUCUGACUCAUUUCAUUAAGCCGUCGCUGGAAAAUGCGUUCUCAUUUUAUUUAUUUGCCCCUCUGAAUAUCCUCAUGUUCCCAUCAUCAUGAACGGCCUCUCAGUGAACUCAAGCGUUAUGGCAGUCUGAUUCAAUUCUUAACCAUUUUCCACCAACUUAAAUAGGAUUCAUAGCAGUGUAUUUCCCCUUUUGAUCUCAUGAAAAAGCGUGUUUUAAAUAUUUCUAAAUUCUACCUCAUUUUACAACAUGGAUCGAGUUUUCAGUGUCCCUUUCCUGCCAGUAGGGGGCGGUAUUGGAUGAACUCUGUGUUAACUUUUUGUCGCUCAGAAUUAAGAUCAGAGUCUGUUUUAUUUCUCAUGUAUGCGUACACGUACUAAUUAAAUUUCGGUUGCAUGUGGUCUCAACGUGCACACGCAAUUCAUAC
ensembl:lncRNA